rnacentral:lncRNA from 1 species
GAUACAUCCAGGCGACAAAGGCCAGGGCUCCUGUUACUAUAAGAACUCCUGCAAGAGUGAAUGUGAAUUGUGGCGCUCCCAGCUAUUCUGCUCCUGUUUCCAUCAGCCGCUUCCCUGAGGGGCUCAAGAGGCUGUGAUAAAAGCCAAAGUACCAAGGCAAAGAACAAAUGUCACAAGGUACUUUGCUAGAACCUGUGAUGUGCCUGGUACUGGGCUAGGUGCUGAGGAUAUGACCAUGUGGAGAGAAAACAAGUCCCUAAUGUCUUGGAGUCCAAGCAAAGGAGAGAUACUACACAUGUAUACAAACAAGACAAAAACAUAUUUACCUGCUGGAUUCUUUAUAAAAGUAUGGAGAAGAAGACAGAUAUUAAAAUCGUAUAAUAACAAUUAUGAUAUCAUACUUACCACCUACUGUGCAUUAUGCUAAGCAUUUUAUCUUACUUUUAAUCCUCACAACAACCCUGCGUGCUGCUGCUGGAAAGAACUCCUUCUGCUGGGAUGAAGAAAUGCUGUUGGGUUGAUGCUCACAGGAACCACAAGCAGACAGAAAGCCUUUAAAAAGGAGCAAGCCCUCUCUUCCUCCUCCAACAUUGCAAUCUCCGUCCAGUACCACCUUUGGCAGAAUGUAACGGAGAGCCAGCUGGCAAAGCGGAAAUGGGGUGUGCAGAGUCCCAGUGCCAGCAUCUCAAAGCCAAAUAAAGAAAAGGGCAUUUGGAAUAUAGAGACAAAAAGUUAAUAACUGGUAUAACAAUGAUGCCUCCUAGCUUUUUCAAACGCUCAUGGGGAAAAAUCAAUUUUUAUUUUCCUGAAGCAAAAUAAUCUUUCAAAUUUGUUCAAAAAAAAAUAGUUCUAGGAAAGGAAGGAUUGUUAAUCAAAUUCUUAAGAACUACUGAUUCAGUCUUUAUGGUUUCAGGGUUUUUUAUUUCUGAUUUUCAGGAAGAUGUGUAUAUUUAAUAAGCCCAGUUUUGCCCCCAAACAUAUACUCCCUCAAAAAAAAAUUCUUUCAUCAAUAAAAAGAUCCUGAAAUUUCA